AGCGUGCGCACCAUUGACACGUGACGAAAAAUGGAGUCCAGGAGAGAAAUCACGAGCCAAGAUUUUCGUGGCGGUAAUUGACGUGGGCGGUUUAAGAUAUCGAGUAAUCUUCUUGAAGAUACAUGACAGGAAAUUUGUUUGAGCUUAAAAGUCGUUAGCCGACCAUUACAUUCGAAUGCUUUCAAGAGUGGCCGGCGGAUAGAUGAGGUAGGAGGCAGAGAGGCAGGAGUCGCGAGAAACCAUCCAAGCAGCGUCACUGUAAUCCGAGCCACGAGCGGAAUUUCAAUCUCCCGGCAAAUGGAACACCGUGGUCCCAUGGCGUAAAGGUCGCCAACCGCGCGUGCACGCCAUCCAGGACGGACGGCCUGAUGAUGGUCCGGGUCGGUCGUUACCCAGGCUAAGUGGAUCGCCGUUACGGUGAUCAGGGAAGACGAUCCUCUUCAUGGAAGUAAUCGAGAGCUCCUUAUUACACUCUAUCCGACACUUGAUUAUUCUUCCAAUGAUGGAUUAAUUAAGUUGGCCGAUUCGCCGAUGUUUUCCACGUGUCAACAGGUGUCGGACAAGCACAAUCGAUUUCUCAAUCAAUCUCGAGUAUCCUCGUAACUUUCCACCACGAUCAUUUUGCCCGACCGUUCUCUCGUCUCGAUUUAUCUAAAACAUUCGUUAUUUUCAGACAAAACAGUCAUUAUCGAGGUGAAUAACGACCACUUUGCAAAACGACGAACAAUGCUUUUUGUACUGUGACACGUCUCGUAUUUACGCACUUACAAUACGUUGUUUCACGAUUCCUCAAUGGUUUUUUUUUUUUACAAUUUCACGUGCUGUAUACAAUGAUGCAAGUAUAGAAAAAUACUGUGCAAUAUAAAGAAGAUUUAUCGUACGUACAUUGUAAUAGUUUCUUUUUUCUUAUAAUAGACUCAUUCUUGCCUUUCAGACAAAAAACACAAUAUGAGUUAUUUCAAUUCUGUCUGUUGCAAAUUACAGUCACUUAGUUAAUGACCAAUUAAAUAUACAUAUGUUUAUACCUCAAUCAAUAUAUGUAAUAUGUCAUUUAAAUAACUUUCAAUUACCUGUAAUAAAAAUUGCUGUAAAAGAUUUAAAACAAAGUUAAAAAUCAAUCUUCGCGAACGUUCCUCCUAAGAACAAUCUUUUUUCCCUCUUCGCAAGCAAUAAUUUCCAUCUACCUGCCAAACAACUUAUCCGAUCAAUAACUUGAAUUGAAAUAAAUCCAAAGAGACAAGCGGCGAUACAAAAUUGACACAUAUUAGAUCGUAAAACCUUAUCCUGGUCGGCCUGUUACGACCAAUCACGAUAACAUUUCGCGAAUGAAAAGAUCACUUACAGGUUGGAAAAUCCUUCGACCCCGUUCUCACGAUACUGGUUGGACGGUAGCCAAGGAAUUCUUAAUAAUAAUCCAGGUAUUUUCCAAGUUGGACAUAAGAUACUCUCGGAUACUGGUCGAUCCGGUCACUGGCCUUGCUACAUUUUUCAAAAUUAAUUAAAAAUAUUUUUCCUAUUUACGAAAACUGGUUCCGGCUGAAACGAGAUUUCACGAGAAGUCGCUAAGAGAUAAGAACGGCUAGGCGAAAUGAUUGGCUGUAACGUGAGAGUGACACCUUCAUUUUCAUCUUUGAUCUGAAGCUGAUAAUGAAGAAAUGAGAUGCAUUGAAAUAAAGUAGGGUAAUAAAGAUGAUAAUUUGGAAGAUUUUCGCAUAGAUAGAGGAGAGAUUUCUGUAAUAAAGAUUUCUCAUAUCCUCGAAUAUGAUGCUCUCAUUAUUAUAAUCAGGGUUUAUUAUGUAAUUCUAAAUUCUAAAUUCUAAUAAUCUGUCUACAAUAAAUUCUAAUAUCAAUUUCAAAUUAUUCAAAUUCUAGAUGAAAAACUAUGGAAUAAAAUUUUUCAAAUUUCUUCCAGACUUAUAAAAUUUCCUCUCCUCUUUUACAACAACCAUGACUGAUUUUGAAUUUUUUUAGGAUCCUUGGCCAACUGUUUAAAACUAAAAUCAAGAACCUUCUUAAGAACUUACUGCAUAUUAAUUAUAAAGUCAAAAGAGAAUAAGAUGAGCCACCUUUGCCAAGUCCUUAGAACCAAGAAGAACCAAGAAACAUUUUUAAGACUUAUUGCAUUAUCUUUGUAUUGUAAGGGCAAAGAAGAAUUAAAUGGAAUUAGCCUUGCCUCCAUGCCGAAAAAUAGAUGGUUAGCCAAUAUCUCAUCUGUUGGUACAAUACUUGGCCAGAAGGCAGCACGUUUCUCUCAUUAUGCCUCAACCGUCUCGAAAUCCUAACUGUACAAUGCACUCACCCCGCCCAAGGGGCCAGCAUCCUCGACACGCUCCCGUGUGGACGUGGAACGCAGGAACGUGGUCGAUUAUUUCGCGGAGAGAGAGGGAGCGAGAAGGUCGCAGACACACACCGAGUUAAGGGCCUCUUCUCUCGAAUCGGUCAUCUUGAUUUACGACGUCGGAAGCGGCCGUAGAUACUUCACGCACUCGCACACUUACCACACACGCACACACUUGCCGUGAAUCGAUCUGUCUACCUAGCCGUAGACGCAGUUGGAAAAAUCGAGGCGGUUCUACACGUGGCCUUGAGACGCCUCGCUUUUUGAUAUUUGUAUCAGAGGCGAGAUGUGAGAGUGUGCGACGAGAGUUGGUAUGAGGGAGGGGAUUUAAUGGGAUUUAAGGGUUAAUGAUGGUCGUGAUUGGAUGGAAGAGGUUGAAGUGGAGUGGCAGACGGUUAUUUAUAUUUGGAUUCUAUUUUGAGAUGCAUACGUAUAUGUAUAAAAAAGUGUGAUAUAUAUUAUGGUAAUGGUUGGAGAUUAAUCGUAAUUUUUCAUUAUGAUGUUUACCAGUCAUAUCAUGUUUAGUUUAGUAAAAGGAAUUUUCAAUUUUUCAAUCAUAUUUUCCAAAAAUAUAUAUGAAAGAAUUAGAGAAUUUAUUUUUGUUAUUUAAUCAAUUUUUCAAAAAAAUUCUUUUCCAAUAUCAAGUCAAAAUUCACAUUAUAAGAAUUUUUAAAUGAUAGAUUAACUAAAAAUACUAAUACUAGAACAGAAGCAAUAAAAUUAAAUGUACCUAGAAAUUAUAAAAUAACAGUUUACUCUAAUUAUAACUAACAAAAGAUAAUAAAUUCUAAAGUUGAUCAAUAAAAGUCAAUCUCAUAACGAAGACCAUAAACUUUAUCGAAUUUCAACACAAAACUAUUAACUUGAUUAACCUUUAAACUCAAUUCUUGUAAAAGGAUCUAACCUAAAAAAGAAGGAGGGAAAAAAAAAAAA